rnacentral:rRNA from 1 species
UACGUAGGGUGCAGGCGUUAUUCGGAAUUACUGGGCGUAAAGCGUGCGCAGGCGGUUUUCUAAGUCAGGUGUGAAAUCCCCGGGCUUAACCUGGGAAUGGCAUUGGUGACUGCACGGCCAGAGUGUGUCAGAGGGGGGUAGAAUUCCACGUGUAGCAGUGAAAUGCGUAGAGAUGUGGAGGAAUACCGAUGGCGAAGGCAGCCCCCUGGGAUAACACUGACGCUCAUGCACGAAAGCGUGGGGAGCAAACAGG